rnacentral:lncRNA from 1 species
GCGGGGGACCGACCUCUGCGCAGCCCAGGCCGCCGCGCGCACACACCGGGCCCGGCUCCUGAGGGCGCCAGCGCGGCCCCGGGGAGCGCGAGGAGCCGGCGAAGCGCGCGGCCUGCCGUUGGCGGCCUGGUCCGCAGCGCCCUGCGCCCACCCGCCCCGGACGUGGGGCCCAAGCCCCCGUGAAGAUGGUGUCCUGGAUGAUCUCCAGAGCCGUGGUGCUGGUGUUUGGAAUGCUUUAUCCUGCAUAUUAUUCAUACAAAGCUGUGAAAACAAAAAACGUGAAGGAAUAUGUUCGAUGGAUGAUGUACUGGAUUGUUUUUGCUCUCUAUACUGUGAUUGAAACAGUAGCCGAUCAAACAGUUGCUUGGAGAUUGAUGAUUAUAUUGUACAAGCAAAGGAACGAGGCUAUGAAACCAUGGUAAACUUUGGACGGCAAGGUUUAAACCUUGCAGCUACUGCUGCUGUUACUGCAGCAGUAAAGAGCCAAGGAGCAAUAACUGAACGUUUAAGAAGCUUCAGUAUGCAUGAUUUAACAACUAUCCAAGGUGAUGAGCCUGUGGGACAAAGACCAUACCAACCUCUACCAGAAGC